CUGGGGUCUCAGGAGGCAGCGCUCUGGGGACUUCUCCACUAUGGGCUGGAAUCUGCUCCUCCUCAUUCUCCUCAGUCAGGGCACAGGGUCCUGGGCUCAGUCUGCCCUGACUCAGCCUCGCUCAGUGUCCGGGUCUCCUGGACAGUCGGUCACCAUCUCCUGCACUGGAACCAGCAGUGAUGUUGGGGGUUAUAACUAUGUCUCCUGGUACCAGCAGCACCCAGGCACAGCCCCCAAACUCAUGAUUUACCGUGUCAGCAAUCGGCCCUCAGGGGUCCCUAAUCACUUCUCUGGCUCCAAGUCUGGCAACACGGCCUCCCUGACCAUCUCUGGGCUCCAGGCUGAGGACGAGGCUGAUUAUUACUGCAGCUCAUAUACAAGCAGCGGCACUCUCCACAGUGGUCCAGGUUCAUGGGGAACUGAGACCAAAACCUGCCCUGGGCUCUCAGGCUCCCUCCUUGCUCUGAAGAUGCUUCCUCAGCUGGUCCAAGGUCUGCCGUUAGAUAAGAACAUACUCACUUCAUCUACUUGAUUGGA